rnacentral:rRNA from 1 species
AUGGUGCUUGCUGAAGUUUCCAUUAUGAAAAAUGAAUCCUACUCUAUCGUGUCUUGGAACGUUCGAGGUCUUGGUGACAAUGAUAAAUGUGCUAAUGUGUUCUCUGAGAUUAAUCAACUACGCCCAUCGAUCGCUCUUUUUCAAGAAACUAAACUUCUCAAACCAGACACCAUUAAAAUACGCUCGAUCCUACCACGCUUCCUAGACUCAAACAACCAUCUAGACGCUAUCAGUUCUGCGGGUGGCAUUCUCUCUGCCACUAACUCACGCUGUUUCACACUUCUCAGCUGUGACCAUAGGCGUUUUAGCUCCACCCUCACCCUCUCUUGCCUUGCCUCGCAACACGCCGUCUAUAUCACCAACGUCUACGCUCCUUCGCAAAGGGAUCUCAAAAGAGAUUUCCUGGAUGAGCUUAAACAAACUGAACCACCACCACAAUCCCCCUGGCUCCUCAUCGGUCACUUCAAUCUGAUUCGCUUCCCCAAUGAAAAGAACAAUAAUAACUUUCGCCGAUCUGAAGCAGAUGCCUUCAAUGAUACCAUUGAUCAACUUGCUCUCAUUGAGCUCCCUCUUCUUGAUCGCCAAUUCACGUGGUCAAACAAGAGGCCAUCCCCUACGCUUGUAAGGCUAGAUAGGGUUCUUAUUAACCUCCCCUGGGAUGCGCUCUUUCCCAACACCCACCUGACCUCUCUCACUCGUUUCGCCUCCGAUCACGUUCCGCUACUGGUUACUAUGUCCACAUCUAUUCCCUCCUCCCGCCUUUUUCGCUUUCAAUGUUACUGGACCUCCCUCCAGGCCUGCAAAACCAUAGUGCAAACCACUUGGCUGCCCAUUGAUCAAAACCACAAUGGGCCGGUACUGGACCCCGCGACUUCUCUGGCUCAAAAUCUGAAAAAAACACGGCCAGCCCUUAAAUCUUGGGCCAAAACUCUUAGGCCCAUCUACCAACGGGAGCAAAUUGCAAACUUGCAAUUCUGGCCCUUGACCUUAACGAGGAACUUGCCCCCCUCUCCCUUCUGGAACUAA